GAUGAACGCUGGCGGCGUGCCUAACACAUGCAAGUCGAACGAACAGACGAGAAGCUUUCCCCUCUCACGGUAGCGGCGGGCGGGUGAGUGACAUGUGGAUAACACUCCUUUAUGACGGGGGUAACCUACUGAAACCGGUGCCUAUACCCGCAAAUCUAUGCAACAGCAUGGAUCAAUAGCUACAGACGGCUUGGCUGUCACUUAUCGAAGGAUCCGCGCCGCAUUAGCUAGUUGGUAAGGUAACGGCUUACCAAGGCAACGAUGCGUAGCCGACCUGAGAGGGUGAUCGGCCACACUGGAACUGAGACACGGUCCAGACUCCUACGGGAGGCAGCAGUGGGGAAUCUUGCGCAAUGGGCGAAAGCCUGACGGAGCAACGCCGCGUGUGUGAUGAAGGCCUUCGGAUCGUAAAGCUCUGUUAUCAGGGAAGAACAAAUGAGUAAGUAACUAUGCACGUCUUGACGGUACCUGAACAGGAAGCCACGGCUAACUACGUG
rnacentral:rRNA from 1 species